GUAAGUAUAGUUUAACCAAAAUAUUAGAUUGUGAUUCUAAAGACAGGGGUUAAAGUCCCCUUACUCACC
rnacentral:tRNA from 4 species